GGGUCAGUAGGUUGGUCGUGCCACCGGUACGUACUGGUCUCACUGAUUCCUCCUUCCUGAAGAACCGUAAUGCCAUUAAUUUGGUGUUGCGGGGAAGCAGGACUGUUACUUUAAAAAAAUUAGAGUGUUUAAAGCAAGCUAACGCUUGAAUACAUUAGCAUGGAAUAAUGAAAUAGGACGAUCGAUCCUAUUUUGUUGGUUUCUAGGAUUGACGUA
rnacentral:rRNA from 1 species